rnacentral:rRNA from 1 species
AUUGAACGCUGGCGGCAGGCCUAACACAUGCAAGUCGAGCGAGCGGCGGACGGGUGAGUAAUGUAUGGGGACUGCCCGAUAGAGGGGGAUAACUACUGGAAACGGUAGCUAAUACCGCAUACUAUCGGAUAACCCAUAUGGGAUUAGCUAGUAGGUGAGGUAAUGGCUCACCUAGGCGACGAUCCCUAGCUGGUCUGAGAGGAUGAUCAGCCAAACUGGGACUGAGACACGGCCCAGACUCAUACGGAGGCAGCAGUGGGGAAUAUUGCACAAUGGGCGCAAGCCUGAUGCAGCCAUGCCGAGUGGAUUAAGAAGGCCAUAGGUUUGUAAAGUACUUUCAGUCGGGAGGGGUUACCGACCGAAUAAGCACCGGCUAACUCCGUGCCAGCAGCCGCGGUAAUUC